GUAAAUUUCAGAAGAAACUAAAGGAACUAGGCAGAGAAGAACAUCAAGAUGCUUUCCAGUUAUACAGAUAAUGGAAUAGUGGUUGCAACUGCUGAAGACUUCAUGCAAAACUUUAAAAAUCUUGUGGGCUAUCACAAUUCAAUCACAGAAGAAAACCUUCCGCAGCUUGGUGCUAAUGAGAAUCUUGAGUCGCAGUCAGAUGCUGUUUUGACAUUAACCCCUUUGGAGCUGGGAGUUGGGAUUUCCCAACAUUAAACGUGAACACGUUUCGCAGAAGCUUUUAGCAUCGGAUUAUCUGGACAUUCACAUCUAGUGUGAGUGUUGUGACUAAGUGAACUUGUGGCAGAAGACCAAGCUUUAAGGGAUUGUGGACUUGCAGACCCUGACGCGUUAUAUUGUGUGAGUAGUGUAUAAUUUUAAAACUUAAACUGUGUAUUUCAAUAGAGGAGGACUUUUUGUUUUUUAAAUGUAGCUCUUUUAGAAAACGAUGAAAAGGAUGAAGAGGAUAUGUCUCUGGAUUCAGGGGAUGAAAUCUCACAUAUAGAAGUAUGCAGCAAUUUUCAUUCAGAAAUAUGGGAGAGAGAGACCAAAGGAUCACGUGGAACAGAUCAAAAAAAGAAUACUCAAAUUGAGUUGCAAUCGUCUCCUGAUGUGCAAAACAGUUUAUUAGAAGAUAAGACUUAUCUUGAUUCUGAAGAGAGAACUUCUAUUGAUAUAGUAUGCUCUGAAGGAGAGAACAGCAAUUCAACAGAACAAGAUUCAUAUAGUAACUUUCAGGUUUAUCAUAGUCAAUUAAAUAUGUCCCAUCAGUUUAGUCAUUUUAAUGUUCUCACUCAUCAGACAUUUUUGGGGAUACCAUAUGCCCUUUCAUCAAGUCAGUCUCAAGAAAAUGAAAAUUACUUCUUAUCUGCUUAUACUCAAA
rnacentral:sRNA from 1 species